GACGAACGCUGGCGGCGUGCCUAACACAUGCAAGUCGAACGGCAGCACGGACUUCGGUCUGGUGGCGAGUGGCGAACGGGUGAGUAAUACAUCGGAACGUGCCUAGUAGUGGGGGAUAACUACUCGAAAGAGUGGCUAAUACCGCAUGAGAUCUACGGAUGAAAGCAGGGGAUCGCAAGACCUUGUGCUACUAGAGCGGCCGAUGGCAGAUUAGGUAGUUGGUGGGAUAAAAGCUUACCAAGCCAACGAUCUGUAGCUGGUCUGAGAGGACGAUCAGCCACACUGGGACUGAGACACGGCCCAG
rnacentral:rRNA from 1 species